rnacentral:rRNA from 1 species
AGGAAGUAAAAGUCGUAACAAGGUUUCCGUAGGUGAACCUGCGGAAGGAUCAUUAUCGAUUUUCGAGGAGGAAGAUGGAAAGUCCAAGUCUGUCGCUGGCCCUUGCAAAGGGGCAUGUGCACGUCUUUGCCUUUCGUCGACCUUUCUCAUAAUACACACCUGUGCACCCAUUUGUAGGUCUUCGAAAGGGGAUGCUACGUUUUUCACAUCACAUCUAUCGUAUGUCUACAGAAUGUUAUCAAAGACUGUUGACCAGGCUUUGCCCUGGUUGGCUUGUCGAUAAAUAAAAUAAAAUACAACUUUCAGCAACGGAUCUCUUGGCUCUCGCAUCGAUGAAGAACGCAGCGAAUUGCGAUAAGUAAUGUGAAUUGCAGAUUUCCAGUGAAUCAUCGAAUCUUUGAACGCACCUUGCGCUCCUUGGUAUUCCGAGGAGCAUGCCUGUUUGAGUGUCAUCGAAUUCUCAACCAUGUCUUGAUUGAUUUCAAGCGCAUGGCUUGGAUCUUGGGGGUUGCUGGUGGCCAAUCACAGCCAUCAGCUCUCCUGAAAUGCAUUAGCAAUGGGUUGUCUGGUCUAUUGAUGUGCACGGCCUUUGACGUGAUAAUGAUCGUCGUGGCUGGAGCGUUUUUAAGACCAUGCAUGAAUAGCCUAAGCUUCUAAUAAUGAUAAAGAUAAGAUUUGGAUCCGUUGGUCUUGGAGAAACUGAGCUUUAGUUACUAGUCAGCCGUGAGGCUGGCGAACACAGAGCAAAGAUUUUCUGGACUUGCAUUUCCUUCCUUUUCAUUUCGAAACUUGACCUCAAAUCAGGUAGGACUACCCGCUGAACUUAAGCAUAUCAAUAAGCGGAGGAAAAGAAACUAACAAGGAUUCCCCUAGUAACUGCGAGUGAAGCGGGAUGAGCUCAAAUUUUGAAUCUGGCGGUCUUUGGCCGUCCGAGUUGUAAUCUAGAGAAGCGUCUUCCGCGCUGGACCGUGUACAAGUCUCCUGGAAGGGAGCGUCAUAGA